CGCCCGGACAGAGUCGCGGGGUUUGCCUACAAGCGCUUUAUUUUUAUUUUUUUAAAGAAGGGGAUAUUUUAUCAGCGUAAAGGUCAGCGUCGCGGCAGCAGCAAAAAGGGACUCGUAUUUCUUUCCUCCGCCUGGAUGGAGAGAGGAGGCAACCCCAGUAUCUCCCCACCCCCUUGCUACCUGGGUCUCCUUGGAAACAAAGCACGCGGGGCGGGGCGCGGCGGGAAGACCGGCCGGGACCCCUGGGGAGAACAUCCGACGGAGUCAGCGUCGGGAAAUCAGGAGGUAAGGCCUAGCACGGCCCCAGCAUACAGCAGGAGCGCAGCAGACACACGCUGAAGGGGUGCAUACUCAGGGCGGCCUGCUGAGGACAGCCGAGGCUGGGUAUCUGAGAGUGACAACAGUACCACUGUGCGCCUCUUCCUCGAAGAGCUACUGCUACCUCCUCCGGUCUGCCCCGCCCCUGAAAAGCUUCAGAAUAGCGGCCGGCACACAGGGAGAGAACAACCCCUGCAACCCGCCUGGGCCCGGCCCCCUCCCCCGCUGCCUCCUUCCUGUUCCUUUCCCGCUUUUGUCCCACCGCCAGCCCCGACUCCUCUGGGCAGCAUCAGGCCACGUGCAUAUUCAGCGGCUCAGCCAGUACCCGCCUGCCGUGGGGCAUCUCCUGGGAGCCAUCAGCUGCCUGGUGACAAAUACGGAGGUGAAGAUCACUGUCCCUGGAAGACCCCACGAGUGUCCCUUCACAAGCCAAGAAAUGGACCACACCACACCUCCCUGGGGGGCCUCCCACGUCGCUUGCUGUAGGUGCAGAGGUGUGCACCGAAGUGGGAACACCAGGAAGGCCGUACACCUCCUCUCUGCAGAAGGCCAGAUAACUGAUAACUUCCCUAUCAGCUUGCUAACUGGUUGGGGCUCCUGAGGACAUGGACCAAUGCCCUGCCUGGCUCCUUCUGCCGGAGCAGACCCUUCCACCAUGCCAUUUCUGCCUUGUAGCCUGCUCACCAUGGACUGAUCCCAUGGAAACCGUGAGACAAAGUAAAUGCCUCCUCCUUUAAUUUGAAGAUGUUGGGUAUUUUGUCUCAGCAAUGAGAAAGCGACUAAUAUGGAAAAUUGGAACUAAUGUGGAACUGCAUGACUGUAGUUCAGAAGCCUUUGGAACCGGUUUGCAAGAGGAAUUCGGACAAGUUUGGAGAUGCAGGCUAGAGAAGCCCUAGAAUGUUGGGAGUGGUGCUUGAUGUGUGAUACUGGUCAGAGUUCAGAAGACCAGAAUGUUGAUAGGAAUGUGGACAUUCAAGGCCAGGCUCAGAUGGUUUCACUUGGGAACAAGGGUUGCAUUGGCAGCUAGACGCGGGCCAUGUAUUUUAUGUUCUAACGGAAAAUUUGCUGGCAUUUUGCCCCUGUCCUGAGACCUUACAGACGGCUGAGGUUAAGGAUGUCGGAUUAAUAAAUCUGGCAGAAGAAAUCUCAAGACAGCCCAACAUUUAGGCUGUGACAUGAGAACUGCUGACUGCUUUAGCCAGAUCUACAAUAAAAAUCAACAAAAGGCAGAGCUGGAUGAUUUGAAAAGUUUGCAGUUUCACCAGAAAGGAAGCACUUGCAAAGCUGAGGCCAUGGAGGGCAUGCUUGCUGCAAAGAUUAGUUUUAAGAAGAAGCCAAUUACUUUGCAUCAAGAAAAUAUGAAAGAUGGCUUGAAAGGCAUCUCAGGAAUCAGCAAGACCCCACCCAUCACAGGCUCAGAGGUGCAAAAGUAGGAGGGCUGCUGUGGGAACUAGUUCCUUGGGAAUUGUUUCACCGAGUUCAGUCAUCCAGGCACUCAGAGACCUCUGCAGCCCUGGUCCAAGGGGUCCAGCUGCUACACAACCUGGCAGCCAACCGUGGUGUCAGCCAUGUGGUACUACUGGUUUUUCAGCAUGGGAAAUCCAAGAGUUAUUGGGUUCAUGGAGGCUUCCACACAGAUUUCAGAAGAAGGCCUGGGGGGACAGGUAAACAUGUGUGAUUGGGUCACAGUCCCUGCCGGGCAUGUUAGAGGGCAGUGUAUGAAGCUGUGAGAGUAAAGCCAAGUGUGCAGUAGAGACCCCAGAAAGUCAGAGAUGCCAACAAUGUGGAAUAUCUGCUCAGGAAAGCCCCAGGCAGACAGUGAAGGCAGCUCAAAAGAGACUCCAUGUGGGGUGUAACCUGCAAUGCCAUAUUAUUAGCUUCAUUUCCAGGGAAUUACUGGGACAGUUUCAGGUUUUAGUUUUGUUCUUUUUUUGAGAUAGGGUCUCCCAAUGUAGCUAAGGCUGGCCUCAAAC